rnacentral:rRNA from 1 species
GGGGAAUAUUGCACAAUGGGCGAAAGCCUGAUGCAGCAACGCCGCGUGAGUGAUGAAGGUCUUCGGAUUUGUAAAGCUCUGUCUUUUGGGACGAUAAUGACGGUACCAAAGGAGGAAGCCACGGCUAACUACGUGCCAGCAGCCGCGGUAAUACGUAGGUGGCGAGCGUUGUCCGGAUUUACUGGGCGUAAAGGGUGCGUAGGCGGAUGUUUAAGUGAGAUGUGAAAUACCCGGGCUUAACUUGGGUGCUGCAUUUCAAACUGGAUAUCUAGAGUGCAGGAGAGGAGAAUGGAAUUCCUAGUGUAGCGGUGAAAUGCGUAGAGAUUAGGAAGAACACCAGUGGCGAAGGCGAUUCUCUGGACUGUAACUGACGCUGAGGCACGAAAGCGUGGGUAGCAAACAGGAUUAGAUACCCUGGUAGUCCACGCCGUAAACGAUGAGUACUAGGUGUAGGAGGUAUCGACCCCUUCUGUGCCGCAGUAAACACAUUAAGUACUCCGCCUGGGAAGUACGAUCGCAAGAUUA